GUGCUCGCUUCGGCAGCACAUAUACUAAAAUUGGAAUGAUACAGAGAAGAUUAGCACGGUUCCUGCACAAGGGUGACACAUACAUUCAUGAAGUUUUCCAUAUUUUU
rnacentral:snRNA from 1 species